rnacentral:rRNA from 1 species
GACAGAGGGUGCAAACGUUGUUCGGAAUGACUGGGCGUAAAGGGCGCGUAGGCUGUUAAUCAAGUCGCGUGUGAAAGCCCCCGGCUUAACUGGGGAGGGUCACGCGAUACUGAUCGACUCGAAGGCAGGAGAGGGUAGUGGAAUUCCCGGUGUAGUGGUGAAAUGCGUAGAUAUCGGGAGGAACACCAGUGGCGAAGGCGACUACCUGGCCUGUUCUUGACGCUGAGGCGCGAAAGCUAGGGGAGCAAACGGG